GCGGCCUCUGGAUGCAGUACCGGGCAGGGCCACAGCUGCCCGCCCUGCACACUGAGCACUGCGCUCAGGGGGCUUCUCCGGGCUGAGGGUGGGGCUUGCAGGCCCUCCUUACCAGGUACUUGCUGAACUUCCACAGAUUCUGGUUCUUCACCAGUCUUUCAAGAUCCCUUUUUUUUAGGAACUUGGCCACAGAAAGCAGCGUUUCCUGAGAAGCCUGGGGAGCAGCAGAGACGUGGAGAUGGCCCCACAGCGCAGGGUGCAGGACCUGCGUCCCUGUGCCAAGGCCUGGAGGAGGCUGCAGCUCGGCAGGUGCCAGAGCAGGAGGCAGCCGAGCCCCCUGCCAGGGGAACAGCAGCAGCCCACGGGUCCUCACCUGUGCCACAAGCCGCUUCUCAUCAUGGCAGUGGAAGAAGAAGGGCAGCAGGCUCUGGCAAAGAGGUGUCUUCAGGGCCUUUUUUUCCUUUUCCCUUUCUGGGAGAGUCACCAGUGUUCGGAAGAGCAGUAUGGAGAGCAGCUGCACCUGGCUGUUGUUCUGUAUGGAAGGAAGAAAUAAAGACCUCAGCAUCGGCUGCACGGGGCUCAGCCUGGCACAGGCCUGCAAAUUCACAGGGCACUAAGUGUCCAGACAGCACCCAGUGGCAGUGGAUGGGAGCAGUGAGCCUUACGUGGUCAAAGAGUGGCAGGAGCACCUCAAGCAGCUGCCCUGUGAUGGGGCUGGGCAUCAGCAUGUCAUUGUCCAAGAUGAUAAAGCUGAGUAGCAUGACUGUCAUGCUAACUAUCUCUCCAUCUGCAUCCCACAGGAACGCCACAAGACUUUCAGUCAGGCUCCACAUUUUUUCAGCCUGUGUGGACCACAAGUUUGUGAAAGGCCACCCUGCUGCCGCAGGGCCCAGAGGCCAAAGGCCUGUCGCGAAGCACUGGGUCAGCUGAAGCGGGAGGCAGGAGAGCUGGGAGCAGUUACCCCAGCGGCCGAAGCCCAGGCAAGGCCAAGCGACUGCGUUGCCCAGCCCCACGUUGCUGCACGGCUUCAGCCACUGCCCCCUUCUCACCAUCAAGGGAUUCUUGCCCAGCACUACGAGGCCUCGGAGUGCCAAGUAACGCGUGGCCCUGUGCUUGUUCUGCAGGUUCUGUGCCAGGAUCUCCAGAACACUGUCGCUGCAUUCCCUCAAGUCCAGGCACUCGAGGACCU
rnacentral:lncRNA from 1 species